rnacentral:tRNA from 1 species
GCCUGGGUGGCUCAGUCGGUCGAGCGCCCGGCUUCGGCUCAGGUCAUGAUCUCACCGUUCGUGGGUUCGAGCCCCGUGUCGGGCU